AGUUGAUCUGGCUCAGGAUGAACGCUAGCUACAGGCUUAACACAUGCAAGUCGAGGGGCAGCAUGAUCGAAGCUUGCUUGAUUGAUGGCGACCGGCGCACGGUGAGUAGCGCGUAUCCAACCUUCCCUAUAGUAGAGGAUAGCCCGGCGAAAGUCGGAUUAAUACUCUAUGUUUUCCAAUGCAGACAUCUAAAAUGGAACAAAGGUUUACCGCUAUAGGAUGGGGAUGCGUCUGAUUAGGUUGUUGGCGGGUAACGGCCCACCAAGCCUACGAUCAGUAGGGUUCUGAGAGGAAGGUCCCCCACAUUGGAACUGAGAUACGGUCCAAACUCCUACGGGAGGCAGCAGUGAGGAAUAUUGGUCAAUGGGCGAGAGCCUGAACCAGCCAAGUAGCGUGCAGGAUGACGGCCCUAUGGGUUGUAAACUGCUUUUAUACAGGGAUAAAGUGCGCCACGUGUGGCGCUUUGUAGGUACUGUAUGGAUAAGGACCGGCUAAUUCCGUGCCAGCCGCGGC
rnacentral:rRNA from 1 species